rnacentral:tRNA from 1 species
UAAGGAGAAGUAAAAGGGAUACGAAGAAUUUUGAUUUCUUGAUUGUAGGUUCGAUUCCUAUCUUCUUAA